rnacentral:sRNA from 1 species
GGCUGGAGGCCAAGGUCAAGUUGAAAGUCUAGUUGCUGUCUGGCC